rnacentral:rRNA from 1 species
ACCGGCGCACGGGUGCGUAACGCGUAUAGAACCUACCUUUUACAGGGGGAUAGUCUGAAGAAAUUUGGCAUAAUACCCCAUAGUAUUGCUUUAAGGCAUCUUAGAGUAAUUAAAGAUUUAUCGGUAAGAGAUGGCUAUGCGUCCUAUUAGCUAGUUGGUACGGUAGAGGCGCACCAAGGCGACGAUAGGUAGGGGUUCUGAGAGGGAUAUCCCCCACACUGGUACUGAGACACGGACCAGACUCCUACGGGAGGCAGCAGUGAGGAAUAUUGGACAAUGGUGGGAACACUGAUCCAGCCAUGCCGCGUGCAGGAAGACGGCCUUAUGGGUUGUAAACUGCUUUUAUAUAGGAAGAAACCCUUCUACGUGUAGAAGUUUGACGGUACUAUAUGAAUAAGCACCGGCUAACUCCGUGCCAGCAGCCGCGGUAAUACGGAGGGUGCAAGCGUUAUCCGGAAUCAUUGGGUUUAAAGGGUCCGUAGGCGGGCUAAUAAGUCAGGGGUGAAAUCUCACAGCUCAACUGUGAAACUGCCUUUGAUACUGUUAGUCUUGAGUUAUAUGGAAGUAGAUAGAAUAAGUAGUGUAGCGGUGAAAUGCAUAGAUAUUACUUAGAAUACCGAUUGCGAAGGCAGUCUACUACGUAUAUACUGACGCUAAUGGACGAAAGCGUGGGGAGCGAACAGGGUUAGAUACCCUGGUAGUCCACGCCGUAAACGAUGGACACUAGUUGUUGGGCUCUAGGUUCAGUGACUAAGCGAAAGUGAUAAGUGUCCCACCUGGGGAGUACGUUCGCAAGAAUGAAACUCAAAGGAAUUGACGGGGGCCCGCACAAGCGGUGGAGCAUGUGGUUUAAUUCGAUGAUACGCGAGGAACCUUACCAAGGCUUAAAUGUAGAUUGCAUUAUUCAGAGAUGAAUAUUUCUUCGGACUAUUUACAAGGUGCUGCAUGGUUGUCGUCAGCUCGUGCCGUGAGGUGUCAGGUUAAGUCCUAUAACGAGCGCAACCCCUAUCGUUAGUUGCUAGCAGGUAAUGCUGAGGACUCUAGCGAGACUGCCGGUGCAAGCCGUGAGGAAGGUGGGGAUGACGUCAAAUCAUCACGGCCCUUACGUCUUGGGCUACACACGUGCUACAAUGGUAGGUACAGAGGGCAGCUACCCCGCGAGGGGGUGCGAAUCUUCAAAGCCUAUCACAGUUCGGAUCGGAGUCUGCAACUCGACUCUGUGAAGCUGGAAUCGCUAGUAAUCGCAUAUCAGCCAUGAUGCGGUGAAUACGUUCCCGGGCCUUGUACACACCGCCCGUCAAGCCAUGGAAGCUGGGGGUACCUGAAGUCGGUGACCGAAAGGAGCUGCCUAGGGUAAAACUAGUAACUAGGGCUAAGUCGUAACAAGGUAACC